rnacentral:rRNA from 1 species
CCUGCGGAAGGAUCAUUGUCGAAACUUGCAAUAGCAGCAUGACUUGAGAACUUGUACAAAAGACGAGCGUUGGGUCCAGUUUUAUUGGUCCGGCCUCGAGGAACAAAAACUCCGGCGCAGUGGCGCCAAGGAAUUUCAUAAUUAGAUUGCCAGCUCGCAAGGCUUGAUUCUAGCGCUUGUGGCGGGCGUCUGUUUUAAAAAAAGACUCUUGGCAAUGGAUAUCUCGGCUCUUGCAUCGAUGAAGAACGUAGCGAAAUGCGAUACGUGGUGUGAAUUGCAGAAUCCCGUGAACCAUCGAAUCUUUGAACGCAAGUCGCGCCUGCAGCCAAUUAGGCCAAGGGCACGUUUGCUUGGGUGUCAUGCAUUUUGUCGUCCCGCUCAUGUUUUUCGGGUGGGAGUGGACCAUGGCCUCCCGGGCCCGUCCUCGGGCGUGGUUGGCUGAAAUUCUCGUGCUUGAUAAUUGAACGAUGCAUUGGCGUGUGGUGGAUGUGCUGCUUGUGCAUUGAGCCGCGCCUCUUGCAGCUCGAUUGCGGCGUUAGACCCUUCGGAGCCGGUAGCGCCGGCUCUUCGAUGUGACCCCA